rnacentral:lncRNA from 1 species
CUCCAUCUCCUGACCUCGUGAUCCGCCCUCCUCGGCCUCCCAAAGUGCUGGGAUUACAGGCGUGAGCCACCGCGCCUGGCAUAUUAUUUAUGUAAACAGUAUAGGCACAAGAACAAUUAAAAUUUAAAAUUAGGUAAUACAUGUUAUUGGGUAACCACUGUAGACCAGCUCCAGGUAAGAUAAUGGAUCAAACCAGCCCUCUCCCAAUAGAUAUUACAUAGUAUUAUUGGACUCCCCAGGAAACUUGCUGCUCUUUUUCUCCUUCUGUACAGCUCCAUACCUUUCACAAGCGGGAGGAGUUUUAAGUCAUGUAUUAGGUACAUGACUCACAUGUCUUGUCUUUUGCAUGAGAUUUUUGAAUACUCCUUGUAUAACCAUGGUUACACUGAUCAAGCUCAGUCCCCUUCUCUGUCUCUUCUUCCCUUCCCUCUUGAUCUCUCUCACUUGCCCGUCCUGCUAUCUCCUUCUGCCAGCAUCCACCUUAUCUGCCCCUCUUACUUUUCUUGCAUUUCUCUUCUUGUUGUUUUCCUGUUUCUCUGAUUGACUGAUAACUAGUUUCUGUUUGCUUGCUGGACUUUAGAGUUCAUUCACAUCCUGUGUGUGUCUCUCUCUGUUUUUGUUUCUUUGACGAGAAAAGCAGACCCUUAAGUCUCCAAGGAAUUGGAGCUAUAGAGGUUAGAACUCUCACUUCGGCCUGAGGACAGCUUACCCUUUCGUUCACCUUUUGUAGGGGAUAGGGAUCUCCCUCUUUCCUACGGUUUUGGUGGCCUUUGGCUGGAAGUUUGGAGAAUUAGGCUACAGCUAUCAAAUUAGUUAUGUUUUGAGCUGUUUUGGCUCAUCAUUCUUAUGUGUGCACCAGCCCCAAUGCCCUGUCAACAGGUGAAGCCAUGGAGUCAGUAAGAGACCAGGGUGUAGGUGUCUGAGAAUUAUUCCAACCAGCUGGGCCAAUGAGACACAUAGUUUGUAUAAGAAUAAACAAAAGAGACAAAAAUAGCUUGAGAAAGACUAGGCAGAACUGUGAAGUUACUAUAGCAAGAAUCUAUAUAGAAAGAGAAAGGAAUUUUACUUUGAAGAUAUUUUGUGGCCAUCUGAGCAGAAGCUGCUCACGUAUUCCUUCCAUUUGUGAACUAGAAGUGACCUUAAUGACAGUUGAUAGGAACAGCUCCUUAUUCACAGGAAUUAAAUAAAGGGAAGCUGUAAGUGUUCCAAGUGCAAGCGUGUGGCUCAAAUAAGCCCAGGUCUUAGCUGCCUGUGUGUUGAAUGAGGUUGUAUUAAUAUUAAUUCCCAAAUCUCAGUGGUUCCACACCAUGCUGGAUGCUUCCUUCUGCUCCUCUUCCCCUUGGACCUCAGACUCCAGGUUCUUCAGCCUUUGGACUCUGGGACUUGCACCAAUGGCUUGCUGGGGGCUCUUGGGCCUUUGGCCAUGGACUGAAGGCUGCACUAUCAACUUCCCUAGUUUUAAGUCUUUCUGACUUUCACUGAGCCACUACUGGCUUCUCUUCCCCAGCUUGCAGACAGCCUAUCGUGGGACUUGACCUUGUGAUUGUGUGAGCCAAUUCUCCCUAAUAAACUCCCUUCCAUAUAUACAUAUAUUUUAUUAGUUUUGCCCCUCUGGAGAACCCUGACUAAUACAAUGAGAAUCUCCCUGCCUGGGCAGAACAUUGGGCAGGCUUUUUGUAUGAGUGGAGCCACUGCUUACUUCCAUGGUCAAGCAGGCCUGGUCACUACACUUCUCCAAAAUGGGCAGAGGUCACCAGUUCAGCUUUGCAGAUAGGCUAUGAAGUUGAUGGAUAUCUCUGAUUGGGCACCCCAGCUGGUAGGAACACAGCUGCAGCUCCUGUUCCACUUCCUUUCUUGUACUGCUGAACAUCCAGAUAGAGGCAUUGACAUGCAUGGUUUCCAACUGAUCACUUCCUACUCCCUUAAGGACCUCCUGUCAGGCAGAUGCUGACCUCACAGACUCCCUGAAAGGAUCUCCAUGACCUCUAUGGUUCCUUAGACUGCACUUUGAGAACUAUUGACGUACAGGGAAAAAUGCUCUUGGUGUUCCAGUUAAGCACAGAAUAAAAUCUGGACUGUGUCAGUUUGUAAAGAUCUUAUGUCUACUUGGUCAUCAG